rnacentral:hammerhead_ribozyme from 1 species
GCACUGCUGAAGAGUCCCAGAAUUGGACGAAACGGCCGUCUAGUGC